rnacentral:rRNA from 1 species
UUGACCUCGGAUCAGGUAGGAAUACCCGCUGAACUUAAGCAUAUCAAUAAGCGGAGGAAAUCGAAUU